CUACUAGUCAUAUGAUGUGUCAGCAGCGCGCGGUAAGACGAGAUGCAAGCGUGUCGAAUACUGGGCGUAAAGCGCGCGUAGGCGGCCGGGCAAGUUGGGGGGUGAAAGCUGCGGCUCAACCGCAGAACUGCCUCCAAAACUGCUCGGCUAGAGGGCGGCAGGGGAGAGUGGAACUCCUGGUGGAGCGGUGAAAUGCGUAGAUAUCAGGAAGAACGCCGGCGGCGAAAGCGACUCUCUGGGCCGUUCCUGACGCUGAGUGUGCGAAAGCCAGGGGAGCAAACGGGAUUAGAUACCCCGGUAGUCCUGGCCGUAAACGAUGGGCACUUGGCAGUAGGAGACCCCUUUUACUGCCGUAGCUAACGCGUUAAGUGCCCCGCCUGGGUAGUACGGCCGCAAGGCUAAAACUCAACGUAAUUGACGGGGGCUCGCACAAGCGGUGGAGCAUGUGCCUUAAUUCGAGGCUACGCGAGGAACCUUACCAGGGUUUGACAUGCUGGUGGUACAAACCUGAAAGGGGGAGGACCCUGGUUUCCAGGGAGCCAGCACAGGUGUUGCAUGGCUGUCGUCCGUUCGUAUCGUGAGAUGUUGGGUUAAGUCCCGCAACGAGCGAAACCUUUGUCCUUAGUUGCUAACGGGUAAUGCCGAGGACUCUAAGGAGACUGCCGGUGUCAAACCGGAGGAAGGUGGAGACGACGUCAAGUCAUCAUGGCCCUUAUGCCCUGGGCUGGACACAUGCUACAAUGGCCGGUACAAUGGGAUGCCAAGCCGCAAGGCGGAGCGAAACCCUUAAAGCCGGCCCCAGUUCGGAUCGGGGGCUGCAACCCGCCCCCGUGAAGCCGGAAUCGCUAGUAAUCGCGGAUCAGCCACGCCGCGGUGAAUAUGUCCCCGAGCCUUGUACACACCGCCCGUCA
rnacentral:rRNA from 1 species